GCAGACAAGACUAGAACACACAGCUAAAGGUGGGAGUAGACGAGACAAGAACACAUAGCUAAAGGUGGGAGUAGACAAGACUAGAACACACAGCUAAAGGUGGGAGUAGACGAGACUAGAACACACAUCUAAAGGUGGGAGCUGACAAGACUAGAACACACAGCUAAAGGUGGGAGUAGACGAGACAAGAAUACACAGCUAAAGGUGGGAGUAGACAAGACUAGAACACACAGCUAAAGGUGGGAGUAGACAAGACUAGAACACACAGCUAAAGGUGGGAGUAGACAAGACUAGAACGCACAGCUAAAGGUGGGAGUAGACAAGACUAGAACACACAGCUAAAGGUGGGAGUAGACAAGACUAGAACGCACAGCUAAAGGUGGGAGUAGACGAGACUAGAAUACACAGCUAAAGGUGGGAGUAGACAAGACUAGAACACACAGCUAAAGAUGGGAGUAGACAAGACUAGAAUACACAGCUAAAGGUGGGAGUAGACAAGACUAGAAUACACAGCUAAAGGUGGGAGUAGACAAGACUAGAAUACACAGCUAAAGGUGGGAGCAGAUGAGACUAGAACACACAGCUAAAGGUGGGAGUAGAGGAGACUAGAACACACACAGCUAAAGGUGGGAGUAGACAAGACUAGAACACACAGCUAAAGGUGGGAAUAGACAAGACUAGAAAACACAGCUAAAGGUGGGAGUAGACAAGACUAGAAUACACAGCUAAAGGUGGGAGUAGACAAGACUAGACUACACAGCUAAAGGUAGGAACAGACGAGAUUAGAACGCAUACAGCUAACGGUAGGAACAGACGAGAUUACAACACACUUAGCUAACGCUAGGAACAGACGAGAUUAGACGUACUUAACUGCCAGUAGGAACAGACGAGAUUAGAACACACUUAGCUAACGGUAGGAACAGACUAGAUUAGAACACACUUAGCUAACGGUAGGAACAAACGAGAUUAGAACAAACACACAGCUAAAGGAAGGAGCAGACGAGAUAAGAAUACACUUAGCUAACGGUAGGAACAGACGAGAUAAGAACACACUUACCUGAAGGUGGGAGCAGACAAGACUAGAACACACAGCUAAAGGUGGGAGUAGACAAGACUAGAAUACACAGCUAAAGGUGGGAGUAGACAAGACUAGAACACACAGCUAAAGGUGGGAGUAGACAAGACUAGAACACACAGCUAAAGGUGGGAGUAGACGAGACUAGAACACACAGCUAACGGUGGGAGUAGACAAGACUAGAAUACACAGCUAAAGGUGGGAGUAGACGAGACUAGAAUACACAGCUAAAGGUGGGAGUAGACAAGACUAGAACACACAGCUAAAGGUGGGAGUAGACAAGACUAGAAUACACAGCUAAAGGUGGGAGUAGACAAGACUAGAAUACACAGCUAAAGAUGGGAGUAGACAAGACUAGAAUACACAGCUAAAGGUGGGAGCAGAUGAGACUAGAACACACAGCUAAAGGUGGGAGUAGACGAGGCUAGAACACACACAGCUAAAGGUGAGAGUAGACAAGACUAGAACACACAGCUAAAGGUGGGAGUAGACAAGACUAGAAAACACAGCUAAAGGUGGGAGUAGACGAGACUAGAAUACACAGCUAAAGGUGGGAGUAGACAAGACUAGAACACACAGCUAAAGGUGGGAGUAGACAAGACUAGAAUACACAGCUAAAGGUGGGAGUAGACGAGACUAGAAUACACAGCUAAAGGUGGGAGUAGACAAGACUAGAACACACAGCUAAAGGUGGGAGUAGACAAGACUAGAAUACACAGCUAAAGGUGGGAGUAGACAAGACUAGAAUACACAGCUAAAGAUGGGAGUAGACAAGACUAGAAUACACAGCUAAAGGUGGGAGCAGAUGAGACUAGAACACACAGCUAAAGGUGGGAGUAGACGAGGCUAGAACACACACAGCUAAAGGUGAGAGUAGACAAGACUAGAACACACAGCUAAAGGUGGGAGUAGACAAGACUAGAAAACACAGCUAAAGGUGGGAACAGACGAGACUAGAACACACACAGCUAAAGGUGGGAGUAGACGAGACUAGAACACACACAGCUAAAGGUGGGAGUAGACAAGACUAGAAUACACACAGCUAAAGGUGGGAGUAGACAAGACUAGAACACACAGCUAAAGGUGGGAGUAGACAAGACUAGAACACACACAGCUAAAGGUGGGAGUAGACAAGACUAGAACACACAGAGCUAAAGGUGGGACCAGACGAGACUAGAACACACAAUGCUAAAGGUGGGAGUAGACAAGACUAGAACACACAGAGCUAAAGGUUGGAGCAGACGAGACUAGAACACACAGAGCUAAAGGUGGGAGCAGACACGACUAGAACACACAGCUAAAGGUGGGAGUAGACGAGACUAGAACACACACAGGUAAAGGUAAGACCAGAGGACACCAGAUCACGUACAGAUAAAGGUAUGGAGUAGAAGAGACUAGAACACAGAUAGCUAAAUGUGGAAACAGACUACACUAGAUCACACCAAGCCGAAGGAAGGAAGGAAAAAGAGACCAGGACAUACAUAUAAGGAGAUAGCAAACGUGCUAACGGUAGGAACAGUCGAGAUUAGAACACACACAGCUAAAGAAAGGAGCAGACGAGAUGAGAACACCCUUACCUAACGGUAGGAACAGACGAGAUGAGAACACACUUAGCUAACGGUAGGAACAGACGAGAUUAGAACACACACAGCUAAUGAUAGAAACAGACGAGAUUAGAACACACAUAGCUAACGGUAGGAGCAGACGAGAUUAGAACACACAGCUAGCGGUAGGAACAGACGAGAUUAGAACACACAUAGCUAACGGUAGGAACAGACGAGAUAAGAACACAUUUAGCUAACGGUAGGAACAGACGAGAUAAGAACACACAGCUAACGUUAGGAACAGACGAGAUAAGAACAAACACAGCUAACGGUAGGAACAGACGAGAUUAGAACACACAGCUAACGGUAGGAACAUACGAGAUUAGAACACACAGCUAACGAUAGGAACAGACUAGAUUGGAACACACAGCUAACGGUAGGAACAGACAAGAUUGGAACACACAG